rnacentral:lncRNA from 1 species
UAUAUUAUUUAAAUCACGGUAGGAGAAAUCUUAGUUAAAUGAUGAUUUUUUUAACUAAAUAUUCACAAUGAAGGAACUUAUUUCUUACCUGAUUGCAACACAAGUCAAGUGAAAAACACAUGCUACGUGCUACUUCUUCUUUAUGUUUGCCCGGAAACAUUUUAGAGGUGUAAACAAUUUUAAUAACCCUUUUAAUGGGAAUAGCUUUGAGAAAUUCAUCUAGAUAGAAAGCAAGACUGAAAUUGUGAAGUUAUAUGAGAUGUAAAAAGCAGUUUAAGACACAUAUACAGUUUAGAAACCAAUUACUACUAACAUUAUUCAAAUGUUUAAUGACAAAUACAGUCACAGGCAGGGGCCGCCAUUUUUUAUUAUGUCUUUCCAUCCUCAUCAAAGAGGAAGUUUCCACAUCAGAAAUUGGUGUGAGUGGAAGGGGAUGCUUUAGCCUGUUGUCCUUUCUGGUAAUUUUGACUUCUGAAAAUAAUGUGCGUGUUUCAGAGCAACUGCAUUUCCUUCCCAUCGCAUGUGGUUAUUCAAAUGACUUGAAGCUUUAAUAGGAAAUAACACUCAUAAUAAACUUCACAGAUAUAUUGUCACGGGACCAUUAUAAAAAUUCAUAAUUUGAUCCAACUCUUAUCCUUAAACACAGUUAAAUAAUAAGCAUUGUUUAAAAAAGAAGACUUUCUUAACUCUCACUCAGUUCCAUUAAGGCUGAUCCUGCCAAAAUUGGGAUUUUAAUACAUUAUGCUUAUUGGUUACCACAAAAUUAACUGAUCAGAUUUGCAAUAUACAAUGUAUUAAAACAAAGUAUGUUCCACAAGGAUGUGCUCAUGGCCAUAUUCAAUUUGAACACCUUGUUUCCAUCAAUUUAUAAUGAUCCCUCUCUGUUUUUUGUUUGUUUGUUUGUUUCUUUAGACAAUGUCUUACUUAGAAGCCCAAGCUAUUUUUAAACUUACCGGGUAUUCCAGACUAGUUCUAAUCUCAAAACAAUUCUCCUGCCUCAAACUCUGGAGUGCUGGGAUUGGAGGUGUGAGCUCUCCAGCAAGGCCUAACCCUAAGGGUAAUAUGUCAAGUCAUGAUGUUUGCACUUUAUUACAUUUGAAUGAAGGAAUAGCACAAUGACUAUAGCUAGUUUUCAUACCAGAACUAAACCUCCCUUACCAAAGAGUUGCCAAAACCUGGCUUCUAAAAAUAGGUUUGAAAUGAAAGUAUUGUCUAACUGUGGAGGAAUGGAAGAAUGCCUGAUAGUCUGGUCUGCCCUACAUCAUUGCCAGGCUCUGAGCAAGUCCUCAAGUUUCUUGAGACUAAAGGCCUUUUCAGUGAACUUAGACAGUGCUGAAGUGAAACCAGUGUUUGAUGAGAGCCCAGAGCUUCAUGGCUGAACAUCUGGGUCCCUUCCCUUUUCUCUAAAGCUAGGACAUAAUUCAGCCUGUUCUCUCUAUGAAGAAGUCAUUUGCAUUUGGUGAGAAAACUCAGCACCUAUAAUAGUGAAGUCACUGGUGACCAAAGAGCAUCAGCAUGUAUCUGAAAAUUCAGAGCCAAGUGCUACAGUGUUAGACCUUGUACAGCAUUCUCUACAAUACCCAUUGCCUUUGUCAUAGCAUCCAAAAUAUUGACUGAAUUGACUUUCAAUUGGUAAUGGUAGAUUUAUUCCACAAGCUGUCCAUAACUUCUCACUGUUGAAAAAGUGGUCCAUUGCCAUGUGGAAUUCUCUCUCUCUCAACAGAAUUCUGAUAAAAAGUUUCAACACGUUCUUGAGCUUUCAUAUUUACAAAUUAUGAAAAAAAUCUGUCAAAUGUAUAAAUUAAUAACCAUUACCAUAGUCUGUAAUGAAGUGGUGUUUGGAUAAACUACUGUAUGAUCUACAG